UACGUAGGGGGCAAGCGUUAUCCGGAUUUACUGGGUGUAAAGGGAGCGUAGACGGCGAUGCAAGUCUGAAGUGAAAGGCGGGGGCCCAACCCCCGGACUGCUUUGGAAACUGUAUGGCUGGAGUGCAGGAGAGGUAAGUGGAAUUCCUAGUGUAGCGGUGAAAUGCGUAGAUAUUAGGAGGAACACCAGUGGCGAAGGCGGCUUACUGGACUGUAACUGACGUUGAGGCCCGAAAGCGUGGGGAGCAAACAGG
rnacentral:rRNA from 1 species